GGAGGGUUAAAUGUUACCUGCUUUGCAAGCAGGAUGUCAGCGGUUCGAGUCCGCUAACCUCCA
rnacentral:tRNA from 1 species